GGCUGUUUGAUGUAGCGGUUAUCACACUUGUCUCAGACACAAGAGGUCCCCAGUUUGAUCCUGGGAAUAGUCA
rnacentral:tRNA from 1 species